rnacentral:snRNA from 1 species
GGAUGUGAGGGCGAUCUGGCUGCGACAUCUGUCACCCCAUUGAUCGCCAGGGUUGAUUCAGCUGAUUUGGCUGGCUAGGCGGGUGUCGCCUUCCUCCGUCACCGCUCCAUGUGCGUCCCUCCCGAAGCUGCGCGCUCGGUCGAAGAGGACGACCUUCCCCGAUAGAGGAGAGGACCGUUCUUCGGUCAAGGGUAUACGAGUAGCUGCGCUCCCCUGCUAGAACCUCCAAACAAGCUCUCAAGGUAAUGGUUUGCAUCAAAGAUAAAUAAGAAAUUGAGUAAGGGGCAGCCUUCUUA